UACGGGGGGGGCAAGCGUUGUUCGGAAUUACUGGGCGUAAAGGGCUCGUAGGCGGCCAACUAAGUCAGACGUGAAAUCCCUCGGCUUAACCGGGGAACUGCAUCUGAUACUGGAUGGCUUGAGAUUGGGAGAGGGAUGCGGAAUUCCAGGUGUAGCGGUGAAAUGCGUAGAUAUCUGGAGGAACACCGGUGGCGAAGGCGGGUCUCUGGGCAGUAACUGACGCUGAGGAGCGAAAGCGUGGGGAGCGAACAGG
rnacentral:rRNA from 1 species